AGAGACGAACAUCAUGACGAAUCUCCUACUUACCUCCCCCUGGAGAUUUUUAACCAUUUUCACUCUGUUGUUCUGGAUGGUUGGACUGAUUCUCUACAAGAAAUGCAAAGACAUGAAAAAUGAAAUUGCACAAAUAUGAUCCAAAGGACACAAUUUAUGCCUUUGUUAACAAACCCAGGAAGAGGAAAGGGUCAAAGGUUUCCUCAGCUGCCACCAAAGGAAGUCCAUCAGAGCAGCAGUCAGUUUACUCUUCAGUCGCCUUUAAAACUUAAAUUAGUUAUUUUAUGGAGCUAAUCUCAGCU